rnacentral:rRNA from 1 species
CUGGCUCAGGACGAACGCUGGCGGCACGCUAACACAUGCAAGUCGAACGAACAGAGGAAGCUUGCUUCCGAAGUUGGUGGCGGACGGGUGAGUAACACGUGAGCAAUCUGCCUUUAAGUGGGGGAAUAACGUUUGGAAACGGACGGUAAUACCGCAUAAAAUACACGAACCGCAUGAUUUGUGUAUCAAAGAUUUAUCGCUUAAAGAUGAGCUCGCGUCUGAUUAGAUAGUUGGUGAGGUAACGGCCCACCAAGUCGACGAUCAGUAGCCGGACUGAGAGGUUGAACGGCCACAUUGGGACUGAGACACGGCCCAGACUCCUACGGGAGGCAGCAGUGGGGAAUAUUGCACAAUGGGCGCAAGCCUGAUUGCAGCGAUGCCGCGUGAGGGAAGAAGGUUUUCGGAUUGUAAACCUCUGUUGACAGGGACGAUAAUGACGGUACCUGUUCAGAAAGCUCCGGCUAACUACGUGCCAGCCGCGGC